GAAAACAUGAGUUGGAUGGUAGAAAUGUCAGAAGAUUUGGAGCUGGGGAAACGACCAUAUCUUAAAAGCCCAGUCUGCACAAAGGGAGGCCCCAAAUAAGUGACUACAAGAAAAAAAAAAAAAAAAAAAGAGCAAGUUGGAGGGAGACAGAGAAAAAACUGGUUUGCAUGUGCUGAUGACAAGGAGGUGGGAGAUGAAGUUCACAGACUCAAAAUUAUUGCAACAGCCUAGACAGCUUGGCCCAAACCAAAAAAGAUAACAUUGAACAGGGCCAAAUGCAAAGGCCUAUAUUUAGGCGAAAACAUGAAAAAAGCAAGAAUCACAGGAAGGUAAAGGAUUCAGAGAACAAAGACUUAGGGAAAAGGGGCGAAGAAACUGGGAGGUUUUGCCUGAGGAAUGAAGACAUCAGGCUGGUGUU
rnacentral:lncRNA from 1 species